rnacentral:rRNA from 1 species
AGAUUGAACGCUGGCGGCAGGCCUAACACAUGCAAGUCGAGCGGUAGAGAGGUGCUUGCACCUCUUGAGAGCGGCGGACGGGUGAGUAAUGCCUAGGAAUCUGCCUAGUGGUGGGGGAUAACGUUCGGAAACGGACGCUAAUACCGCAUACGUCCUACGGGAGAAAGCGGGGGACCUUCGGGCCUCGCGCCAUUAGAUGAGCCUAGGUCGGAUUAGCUAGGUUGGUGAGGUAAUGGCUCACCAAGGCGACGAUCCGUAACUGGUCUGAGAGGAUGAUCAGUCACACUGGAACUGAGACCACGGUCCAG